GACGAACGCUGGCGGCGUGCUUAACACAUGCAAGUCGAACGGAAAGGCCCUGCUUUUGUGGGGUGCUCGAGUGGCGAACGGGUGAGUAACACGUGAGUAACCUGCCCUUGACUUUGGGAUAACUUCAGGAAACUGGGGCUAAUACCAGAUAGGAGCUCCUGCUGCAUGGUGGGGGUUGGAAAGUUUCGGCGGUUGGGGAUGGACUCGCGGCUUAUCAGCUUGUUGGUGGGGUAGUGGCUUACCAAGGCUUUGACGGGUAGCCGGCCUGAGAGGGUGACCGGCCACAUUGGGACUGAGAUACGGCCCAGACUCCUACGGGAGGCAGCAGUGGGGAAUAUUGCACAAUGGGCGGAAGCCUGAUGCAGCAACGCCGCGUGCGGGAUGACGGCCUUCGGGUUGUAAACCGCUUUCGCCUGUGACAAAGCGUGAGUGACGGUAAUGGGUAAAGAAGCACCGGCUAACUACGUG
rnacentral:rRNA from 1 species